UCCAGGGUAGCCUAGUGGACAUGGCACCUGCCCGGUAAGCAGAAGGUUGUAAGUUCGAUUCCCGCCCCUGGAC